UACGUGGUGGCAAGCGUUGUCCGGAUUUAUUGGGUUUAAAGGGUGCGUAGGCGGUUUUCUAAGUCAGCAGUGAAAUACGGCAGCUCAACUGUCGAGGUGCUGUUGAUACUGGGGAACUUGAGUACUGAUGAGGUAGGCGGAAUGGACGGUGUAGCGGUGAAAUGCUUAGAGAUCGUCCAGAACACCGAUAGCGAAGGCAGCUUACUAAGGAGUAACUGACGCUGAGGCACGAAAGUGUGGGGAUCAAACAGG
rnacentral:rRNA from 1 species